AAUUGCUUCGGCAGUUAAUAUAGUAAAAUUGUAAUGAUACAGAAAAUAUUAGCAUGGGCCCUGUGCAAGCAAGGACAGAUUGUGAAUUUUGUAAGUGGCUAUUUAA